CAGCCUUGCAAGACUUAUUCAAGAAUAAUCUUUUGCAGAUUACAAAUACAGAUCUGAAGAUUAUCAAGGCCAAAAUUUGGAUAUCUAUGAAAAGGUGUGGCUAUAAAAUAUCCGGUAUGAAAGCUUCAAAAGAAAUCACUCUCCAUGCCCAAAAUACAUCAAAGAAGCAUGGUGAUCUGAAGCCUCAUAAUGUAUGGCAUUUUCAUCAGCGUUACAGGGAUCAGCAAGUGUUUUUAAAAAUGGAAAUCACCAGGCAAGUCAAACUUAUUUUGUUGUUCAUCUUCCCCACUUUUUACCUAUGACCCACUGGGUGGAAAGGAUGAACAACAUUUCUGAGUGCUCAUCUCUUUAAUGAAGUGGUGGGAGGGAGGAAGGAAGAAAAUUAAAUAAUGAAGUCCUGGUUCCACACUCCCUUACUCAGCUAGCACUUUGAAUAUGUUGACCUAUUGGAGUAUAAAGAUUUAGAAAGACAUUUAUUAAUUUUUAAGAGUAAGGGAAAAUUAGAGAGGUAAUGGAUCUCAAGCAGCUCCUGAGUCAUUGUGCCUUAGAUAUUCAUUAGUGGACUGGUGCAAUCCAGCCAUCUCCUAUUUUUCAAGGCUGCCUUUAGAGGAACUUUAUCAGUCUUCAGGAAUUAAAAACUAACUGAACAAAAAGUACAAAUAAUUAAUCAUAUAAAAUGCAUUCACCUGUGUUCCAAUUACUUUAGUUUGUAUUUUGAACCAUCAAUGAAAUAAGAGGCGUGAUCCAUGCAAAUGUAUCUAAAUUAUAUAUCAAAAAGAAUUUCUUAGUGUUUAAGACAAAUAUUUCAUUUGUAUACCAUAAUCUGUGUAGUAUGGUAUGUUUCCACUUGGCUUUAGUGACACAAGUUUUGGGGUAUUAUAAUGAUGAUGAUGAUGAUGAUGAUGAUUUGUUUUUAAACAUGACUCAUGAGGUUUCUUCUGCAUGCUGGUUAUAUAAUGUUUCUUCCUUCAUGAUAGUGACUAUCUGUUUUCUACUUUUGGCUUACUUUUCUAUUGUUAUUUCUAAAUUGUGUUCAUUUAGCUGAUGACUGGAGGAUCUGUUUAAUUAAUCCAAUAAUUAAAGAAUACUAAUAAUUAAGAAGUUGUCAUAUUUGCUGUAUAUUAAAUGUCUUAGGAGAAAUAACUUUUAGUAUUUGGUGUUGGUGCUUUAAUCUUAUUAUUCUACAGUAUUCUUUUACUAUGAUAUCUGUUAUGCAUAAGUCAGAUUACAAAGCAAAAAAAAAAAAAAUUUAAAAAAUAUAAUCAGGUGUCCCUGAUGAAGGAGCUUUAUGUUGUCAAAAUCAAAUGCACAAAGGAGUAAAAGGAGAUAUUUGUGAAAAUUCUGGAAGACAUAUGAAAAUUUUAUGAGAAUUGAGAUGAGCUUAAAUAAUGUUUGUGUACAUCAGUAAGAAAAUAUACUUACCUUUUAGUGUGGUUAAAAAGGCAAGAACCUUCUAUUGGAUUCUCAGUGAAAGAACUUUUAAAAAGCAAAUUCUCUAAAUGCCAGAUUUAGGUGGUAAAUAAAUAAAGCAAUAUUCACCA
rnacentral:lncRNA from 1 species